GACGAACGCUGGCGGCGUGCCUAAUACAUGCAAGUAGAACGCUGAAGGAGGAGCUUGCUUCUCUGGAUGAGUUGCGAACGGGUGAGUAACGCGUAGGUAACCUGCCUGGUAGCGGGGGAUAACUAUUGGAAACGAUAGCUAAUACCGCAUAAUAGUAGAUGUUGCAUGACAUUUGCUUAAAAGGUGCAAUUGCAUCACUACCAGAUGGACCUGCGUUGUAUUAGCUAGUUGGUGGGGUAACGGCUCACCAAGGCGACGAUACAUAGCCGACCUGAGAGGGUGAUCGGCCCAACUGGGACUGAGACACGGCCCAGACUCCUACGGGAGGCAGCAGGAGGGAAUCUUCGGCAAUGGACGGAAGGCUGACCGAGCAACGCCGCGGGAGGGAAGAAGGGUUUCGGAUCGUAAAGCUCUGUUGUAAGAGAAGAACGAGUGUGAGAGUGGAAAGUUCACACUGUGACGGUAUCUUACCAGAAAGGGACGGCUAACUACGUG
rnacentral:rRNA from 1 species